AAGAUCAUACUUCACAGGAUCAUUUCUGUAGUAUGCAUCGUCCCCUCCAGGUGCAAAUCUGGAGUCGUCGUCAGCCACGAUGAUGAGACUAGUUCAUUCGCCAGAGCGUGAGACUGCUAGUGGUCUACCAUUAAUUUGGUAACGACCAUCUAGCGACGAUGAUCGCAACCAGUUCGCUGGAAGGUGUUUGAACAGUCUGAGUGGU